AAUGAGAUCAAGAACUACUGGAACACCCACAUCAAGCGUAAGUUAAUUAGCCGAGGCAUUGACCCACAAACUCAUGGCCCGCGCAACGAAAAAACCACCACCAGCAGCAAGACGACGGCCGCCACUGGCGCCGCUAAACCCAACGCCAACAGAGUCACACAGUUAAACUUCGAAAACACUUCUCCUCGAUCAAUAGCCGAAAUCAAUCAUUUGAAAGGCAAUAUCGAGAGCAAAUACUCCAAUAAUUUCUACUCCAGUUUCAACCCCACAAAAGCAGAGUCCACAGAAGAAAAUAACGGUACCAGCAGCGGGAUGACCACCGACGAAGAACACCACCGCCACCACCAACAAGAAAGGGAAAGCAGCUAUGAAAAUCAAGAAGUUAAUUUGGAUUUAACAAUAGCGCUAGCUCCAAGUCGAAGUGAGUUGAUUCCGAGAUCUUCUUCCAACUCAGCCGAGUCAAAGUUACAGCAGCAAACUUCAUACCAAUUGCUUGAUCAAACUCGGAGGGUCUGCACUUGUUGUCAAUUGGGUUCACAGAGGAGUGAAUUGUGUAGCAAAUGCCAGAAUUCAAAUGGGUUCUAUAGAUA
rnacentral:misc_RNA from 1 species